GCGUGGGCGCGUGAACAGUUGCAGAAAAAUUUCAGUCGGCGCGUGCGGGCGCGUGGAACGUCCGUUGUCUCUCCGGCGAACUUCGUUGUUCUCCUCUCGUCGGGUACUUUCACCUGGGAGUGUCAAAUUAAUUAUUUGAGCAACUUUCCGAAACACCAACUUGAAGAACAGUAGCUUUGUUUCUUCAAAUUUUGGACCCAAGCUCUCGACCUGGAGCUCUGAUACCACUUGUUGUGGUUCUCUGACCACUUUAGAGAAGAAAUAUGAGAAGAAAAUAAAAGAAUUCUAUUAAUCUCUUAAAAAUAGAAUACAAAAAUAAAAACUUCUCUUAUGGAGGAUUCUCUCGUGGAACCUCUCUCUGCACUCUCCAAUUCUCUCUGGAAUUGCUCACUCUUCUCUCAAGUUCUCUCUGGAACUUAAACAACUCUCUCUCUUGGAGUUUUCUCUCAAUUCUCCUCACUUGGGAGGAUUGAGAUUGCUCUCUUGGCUUGGUUUUCAUGCAAAGGUAAGGAGCUUAUUUAUAGGCUUACAAGGCCACACUUUUCAACAUCUUAGCCCACAAUUGUUGAUCGGUGCAGCAAUGGUGUCAACAAUGGUGGCUGUCAACAAUGGUGGCUGUGGUUGGUGAGGUUGGUGCGGCUGUGGUUGGUGAGGUUGGUGCGGCUGGACUUCACACUACACUCUCUUCCCAAUUGGUUCAAAAGCCUUACAUCUCUAGAGAUCCUGAGCUUUGAUGGGUGCUCAAAGUUAAAGCAUCUAUCCCCCAUCAUUCAACAUCUAGUCUCACUUCGACAUUUGGGUAUUAUUGGAUGCAAUGAGCUUGACAUGUCCAGGGCUGAAGUGAUUUCAUGGAAAGCCUGUACAAGCCUUGUGUCUCUCUCAUUCAGGGAUCUUCCACGACUGGAGACUCCUCCUGAAGGGCUUCAAUACUUUACUACCUUACGGGGACUUGAAUUUUUUGAGUGUAAGAAUUUGAAGGCCAUACCCGAGUGGUUUAGCAACCUCACAUCACUUAUAGAGUUUAUCCUAAUCAGUUGCCCCAAUUUGACAUCAUUGCCUAAAGGAUUACGCAGUAUCACCUCUUUACAAACAUUGAGGAUUUGGGGAUGUCCCAUCUUAUUGCGGAGAUGUAAAAGGGAAAAAGGAGAGGAUUGGCCUAAAAUUGCUCACAUUCCUCGUUUGGAUUUGGGGUCCCCUGAUGAUGCGGAAUCCCCUUCUGUCUCAGGGUCGUCCAAGUGGAAAAUCUUUAACAACUUUCGAGUACCCCAACUCUGCAACAAAUAAUGAAAUAAAUAUAUCACAAGCCAGCUUGAGAGGAAGUUGAGCUAGAAAAACAAUACGAGUUUGGCCGUUUUCGCUUUUCCUAACUCUCAAAACUGAAACUCAGUCGGCAUAUGCUGUAGGGUAAUUUUGGGCCCACCAAAAGCCUACCACAGCAAAUACAAAUCCAACACACCAGUCCAAAUCCAUAUUCACAUUUCCCAAACCUAUCACAUGAGAGCAGCUAGGAAGAACCAGAAGCGUUUUGCAUACAGAAGGGGAAGAAGUAAGUGGCAACCCUUCAAAACAAAGGACACAGGUGGGAACAAGCGGGGAAAUCAAGGACUAUGCGUACUGAAGAAGAAAAAGCGCGGGCAAGUCUAUAGGCACUCAGAAGCAUUGGGAUUGUUCCAUGUCACUGUAGACAAAGGGGUGUGGGGCGGCUAGGAGAGAAUAUUUAGAAAAGCAAUACGGCGUCGUUUUCCGCCAGUUGGUUUUAGAAGCCAAAUCUUGAAACGAUGUCGUAUGACUUUGCCAUUUGUGUUAAAAGCUAGUCCAGUUAAUUGUUUUGUUUGAUUGUUAGAAUUGUUAAACGAUGCGUUUUAGUCUUUUAGCUUUUAUCAAAGGAGCUUCUUGAUCUUCUUGUUAAUUUUCCAUUUGUCUCAAACGGAUGGCCAUUGUUGUAUUAAUUUCUAAGCGUGAGAAUAUAUUAUUGAUCAACUAGCUCCAGAACCGUUUAGAGUAUUCUCUCUGUUCCUUUUGAGAGCUUGGAUUCAUUCUAUACAGACUAUUGCGGCAUCAUGAGAUUAGAGUUACAAUGAUGCUGCAAAAUGCUCAACCCUGUACGGUAUUAUUAAUGUGCACAA